UAAGCACUCGCAUUCCACGGCCCGGCUCCACGCCAGCGAGCCAGGCGUCUUACCUAUUGAAAGUUUGAGAAUAGGUUGAGAUCGUUUUGGCCCCAAGACCUCUAAUCAUUCGCUUUACCGGGUAAAACUGUCGCCCGCGAGUGCCAGCUCUCCUGAGGGAAACUUCGGAGGGAACCAGCUACUAGAUGGUUUGAUUAGUCUUUCGCCCCUAUACCUGGGUUGGACGACCGAUUUGCACAUCACGACCAAUACCAACCUCCACCAGAGUUUCCUCUGGCUUCGCCCUGCCCAGGCAGAGUUCACCAUCUUUCAGGUCCUAGCACGGACGCUCAUGCUCCACCUCCCCGACGGAGCGGGCGAGACAGGCCGGUGGUGCGCCCUCAGCUCUGCCUCCGCCUCGGGAUCCCACCUCAGCCGGCGCGCACCGGCCCUCACCUUCAUUGCGCCACAGGAUUUCAAGCGAGCCGCUGACUCGCACACAUGCUAGACUCCUUGGUCCGUGUUUCAAGACGGGUCAGGUGGGUAGCCGACAUCGCCGCGGACCCCAGGCGCCUGAGCGCAGCCGCACCCUGCCCGGCGGCGCGACGAGGUCGGGGCGCACUGAGGACAGUCCGCCCCGGUUGACAGUCACGCCGGGGGCUGGGGGGCCCGUCCCCCGGACGAGGGCCCCCCUCGCCGCUGCCGCCGAGCGACACGCGCCGCCCCCCGCCCCCGCAAGCGGGGGUGGGGAGAAAAGCGGCAGCGGCACCACCGACAGGGUCCGGGACGCUGCCACAGGGGAAGGCGCGGCGGCAGUCCUCUCCCUUGGCUCUGGGAUUCAGCGAGAGCUGCUGCCCGGGGGCUGUAACACUCGCUGCCGCGUGGUGGCGAGCGACCUGCCCAUCAGGCUUUCCCAGCUGACCUGGAGCCGGUCGUGGCGCACUGCCACGGGGGAAAUGUGCCCGACAGGGGCCGGCUGCCGGCCGGGCGGUGGCCCCCAGCCCACCCCUGCGAGGGGGGUGGAGGGGAGGCGGCAGCGGGGAUCCGCUGAGACCCGAGCAGGCCAACCGAGCCCGCCGGGUUGAAUCCUCCGGGCAGACUGUGUGGACGCCACCCGU
rnacentral:lncRNA from 1 species